UAUUAUUAUUUUAUUAUUUAUAUAGCGCCAUCAGAUUCCGUAGCGCUGUACAAUGGGUGGACAAACAGACAUGUAAUUGUAACAAGACAACUGGACGUACAGGAACAGAGAGGUGGAGGGCCCUGCUCCAUGAGCUUACAUUCUAGAGGGAGUGGGGUAUAGUGACACAGAGGGGUACGAAGUAGGUUGUUAGAAAAGUAUUCACUGAGGGCUUAG